CAAAAGAGUGGGAAGAGCUUUGAGUAGAGGUGACAAACCUACCGAGCCCAGUUAUAGCUGGUUGCCUGUGAAAUGAAUAGGAGUUCAGCCCUUUAAGUCUUUCCCCCCUCACCCAUGCUUACGCUAAAAUUGAUUAAGGAAACUAAAGGCGUUAAUCAAAAGGGGUACAGCCCUUUUGAUAGAAGAAACAACUUUAACAGGUGACCCAAGAUCAUAUUACUCAAGGAUUUCAAAUUAAGUGGGCCUAAAAGCAGCCAUCUUAUCAGAAAGCGUUAAAGCUCAAAUUAGCCUAUAUCCUCAUAUACUGAUAUUACAUCUCCCUCCCUGCCCCUUACCAGGCUGUCUUAUGCCCCCAUAAGAACAAUUAUGCUAAAAUGAGUAAUAAGAAGGAUUUAAUUCUUCUCCUAGCACAUGUGUAAGUCGGAACGGACCUCCCACCGACUAUUAAUCGACCCCAAACCCAGAGGGUAAUAGGUCGUAUAAACAAGAAAAACACCUAUUUUGUAUCGUUAACCCCACACAGGUGUGCCUAAAGGAAAGACUAAAAGAGAAGGAAGGAACUCGGCAAACACAAGCCUCGCCUGUUUACCAAAAACAUCGCCUCUUGCUCCAAAAAUAUAAGAGGUCCCGCCUGCCCUGUGACUAUAAGUUUAACGGCCGCGGUAUUUUAACCGUGCGAAGGUAGCGUAAUCACUUGUCUUUUAAAUGAAGACCUGUAUGAAUGGCAUCACGAGGGCUUAGCUGUCUCCCAUCUCCAGUCAAUGAAAUUGACCUCCCCGUGCAGAGGCGGGGAUGAUUACAUAAGACGAGAAGACCCUAUGGAGCUUUAGACCUAAAGUAAGUCACGUUUAACAUGCUGUGAUAACAGUAAAAACUUAGUGAUAUUUACUGAAGUGUCUUUGGUUGGGGCGACCGCGGGGUAAAACACAACCCCCAUGUGGACCGGGGAUAUUAUCCCUAAUACUCAGAGCCUCUACUCCAAGUAACAGAAAUUCUGACUUUUCUGAUCCGGUAUAACCGAUCAACGAACCGAGUUACCCUAGGGAUAACAGCGCAAUCCCCUCUCAGAGCCCAUAUCGACGAGGGGGUUU
rnacentral:rRNA from 1 species